rnacentral:miRNA from 1 species
GAGGGGGAAAAGAGGAGUAAAAAGAAAAAGAAAAAGGAAAAAAGCACCAGUACCGCUGUCAACAGGAAAUGGAAUCACUUGGACGUUUGACCUCAAAAGCGGUGCCUCACUUGACUUCGCUCAUUUAUUGUACAUUUUCUUCUUUUUUCUUGUCGUCUCCUCUCUCCCUUCCUC